GUUUAUCAGCAAUUUGAGCUACAGUAGAUCUUCCGUGAGAUCAGACCAGACUGGCUAGCCUCGCUCCCCACAUGGAUCAACAUGCCUUGGGCACCCACAAGCCUGAUGCCGGUUCACUGGUUGUCCUUCCUCGCACCACUUUUGGUAGGCACUAACCACUGCGCACCGGGAACACCCCUGCAAGACUUGUCUUUAUGGAGAUGGUCUAACCCAGUCGUCUAGCCAUCACUAUGUGGCCCUUGUCAAAGUCACUCAGAUCUUUUUGCUUGUCCAUUUUUCCUGUUUCCAACACAUGGAAUUCAAGAACUGACUGUUC